GUUACCCUACGGGGCGCAGCAGUGGGGAAUAUUGCACAAUGGGGGAAACCCUGAUGCAGCGAUGCCGCGUGGAGGAAGAAGGUUUUCGGAUUGUAAACUCCUUUUAUCAGGGACGAUAAUGACGGUACCUGAAGAAGAAGCUCCGGCUAAAUACGUGCCAGCAGCCGCGGUAAUACGUAUGGAGCAAGCGUUAUCCGGAAUUACUGGGUGUAAAGGGAGCGUAGACGGAUGUGCAAGUCUGAUGUGAAAGGCGGGGGCUCAACCCCUGGCCUGCAUUGGUAACUGUAAAUCUUGAGUGCCGGCGG
rnacentral:rRNA from 1 species